rnacentral:rRNA from 1 species
ACGCUCGACACCUACGGAGGCAGCAGUCGGGAAUAUUGCGCAAUGGAGGAAACUCUGACGCAGUGACGCCGCGUGCAGGAAGAAGGUUUUCGGAUUGUAAACUGCUUUAGACAGGGAAGAAGAAGUGACAGUACCUGUAGAAUAAGCUCCGGCUAACUACGUGCCAGUAGCCGCGGUAAUCUGAGCGGGCUGGCAAGGC